AUCACCUUACUACACUGCAAUAGGCGUUGCCCACCUGAGAGUCUGUAACACCCCCUAACCCCAAACCAUCACUGGAAUAGGGUUACGAGGCAUUACCGAACAUAUCUGAUAAUUUACAAUAAUUCUUAAAUAAAUAUCAAACAUAUUAAGAUAAAAUCAUAAAUUCAUAUAAAAUUACAAAUUGACUUUUUUUUUAUAAAAAUUUCGGCAGCAUUUCUACUUACUUUUACACAAAACCUCCUGCAAAUAAAACCAUAAAUUUUUACAAACAUAACCAAUUCAGCCAAUUCAACCAAUUCAUUUCAUAUUCUUAUUUUCUAUUCUAAAUACAUUCUAAUCAAACUCAAUUAAUUCAAUAUUAAUUUAAAUUUAUCAAUGUACUAAUUAAUUUGGAAUGGAUAAAUUUCUUUCAUUGAAAUUCUCAGAUUUAUAAUACUAACAUUUUUAGCUAUUUAUAUUCAAAACAUAAUAACGUUUAUACACAUCCUAUGUACAUACCACAUUCUAAAAGAAAAUAUACAUCACCAAAAUUUGCUGAAGUCGGGUCUGGUUUUGGAUGCUGGCUCAAUACUUGACUUCUACAACCUGCGCACGGAAACAACCGUAUGCUGAGUAUUUUUAUACUCAGUGGUAUUACCAUAAUUCAAAUUAUAAUAACAAUAAAGAAUUAUAAUUACCAAGCAUGUAAUUAUCCAAUUUCUUAAAUAUCAAUUAAUUCAUAAACUUUCAUUACUUAACAAUCACAGUAAAAUUUAUAGUUAUUCUUCAAUUUCAAUCACAUAUCACAUGUAAAAAUUUCAAUCACCCUCAUAUUCAAUACUACAAUCGAUCAAAUUCAUUUAAUUUUCUCAUUUCAAUUAUCCACCCUAUUAACAAUCUGGACUUUGACGGAUACACGGAUUCCAACCCAAUCACACCAGUACGGCACAUUGUGCCUAAAACGGUACAUAGUACUUGAUCAGUAUACGACACAUAAGUGCCUGAAACGACACACGAGGUGCCUGAUACGACACACGAGGUGCCUGAUAUACGACACAUAAAGUGCCUGAUCGGCAAAGCCGAUAAAUCCCGUACUCUUCCAAAUCCUAUGGCAUGCCAACUAUAUCCGACUUAGCCCGACUAGUUAAUAGGGUGUUUAAAUUCUCAAUUCUCUUCCAUUUCCAAUUCAAGAUCACUUUUCCACUUUCUAGUCAAUUAACAAUUUAAUACCAAUACAUAUUUCAAAUAAUCACAUAUAAUCAUAUUUUGAUUCAAUUCAAUUCACUUUUCUAUCAAUACACAAUCCACAUUUUCACACAUAUUCAUAAAUUAAUUCACUUUAUUUAAUUCAUAUUUUAAAAUUCAUUUUUCAAUCAAAUUUAAAUCACUAAUACUUUUUAAUCAAUACACAUUUCAAAUAUUCACAUAUUUUCCAUCAUUCAAUUUAAUUUGAUUCAAUUCAAGUCACUAUUAUCAUUCCAAUUGCUUACCUAAUUUUUACUUACCAUGCAUUUUAAUUAAAAUAUAACAAUCAAUAAUAAAUAAAUUUGAAUUAUAGUAAUACAAACCCGAAUUUUGCUUGAUUAUUCCUCAAUAACCUUCUCCUUUCCUUUGUGUGCCGAUGCCUCGAGUUCUUUGUUAGCUACGAAAAUAAUAAUAAUUUACACCAUCACUUACAACAUUAAUUUAUAAUAAUAAUAGAAUUUCUAUCUAAUUUAUACUUUAAUUCUAAUUUAAUCCUAACUAAAUUUAUUUACUUUUCCAAUUUAAUUCACACUCUAUUUCUAUUCAAAUUUCAUCCAAACUAAAUUUUAUCUACUAAUUUCUUCAGCAUUUUUCACUAAUUUCGAAUUUCCCUCAAUUUAAUCCCUAAAAUUCAAAACUUAUAGUUUAGUUCACAAUUUAAUCCUUUUAUCAACUCUAACUAGAACUCUAUCAAAUAAAUCAUCAAUUCCAUCAUUUAUUCAACAUAAACCCUAAAAAAAAUCUAUUAACUUUCAAAUUUUCAACUUAAAUUCAAUAGUAUUUCACUCUAGGGUUCCAAAAAAAACAUCAAAAUGAAGUGAAAUGGACUAAAUUUAGCUUACCAAUUAACUUGAAGCUUAAAAAUUUCAAUUUCCCCUUUUCUUUUCUUUCCUUUCUUUCUUCCCCUGUUUUUCGUCUCUUUCUCUGUUUCUUUUCUAGCUAUUCUGUUUCUUUUCUUCUUUGUUUCUUU
rnacentral:lncRNA from 1 species